rnacentral:rRNA from 1 species
GACGUAGGGCGCGAGCGUUGUCCGGAUUUAUUGGGCGUAAAGAGCUCGUAGGCGGCUUGUUGCGUCGGCUGUGAAAACCCAUGGCUCAACCGUGGGUUUGCAGCCGAUACGGGCAGGCUGGAGUUCGGUAGGGGAGACUGGAAUUCCUGGUGUAGCGGUGAAAUGCGCAGAUAUCAGGAGGAACACCGGUGGCGAAGGCGGGUCUCUGGGCCGAUACUGACGCUGAGGAGCGAAAGCGUGGGGAGCGAACAGG